UCCCCCAUGUGUGUGGUGGAGACCAUGGCUGCGGUGUGCUGUGUUGGAGAUUGGCUGGUUACAAGUGUUUCACAUCAUUUAGUAGCAGCAAAUAUCAGUCAGUGCAGGGAGCCGUUCGUGUUUGACUGCGCCAAAGCAGAACAGAAACCUAAGGAAAAUAAAACGGAGAAUGAAAGUCAAGGUGGAGCUUCAGAGGAGAAGGGAAGUGACCGGGUGCUCGCCUUCACUUUGUCUGCCUCAGGAAACUAUGCUGCUCUCACUGAUGACAGUAAACGACUCGUUCUGUUUCGGACCCGGCCCUCAUGGCGGUGCAUCAGCACCAGGUGGGUGGUGCGGAGGUGCACCUCCCUGGUGUUCAGCUGGGCCGAAGACGAGCUGUUUGUGGCGGAUAAAUCAGGCGACGUGUACUCGUUCUCCGUUGUGGAGCCAGAUCAGCAGGGCGAGCUGAAACUCGGGCAUCUCUCUAUGCUGCUGGGCAUAACACUAUCUCCAGAUGACAAGUACAUCAUCACUGCCGACAGAGAUGAGAAGAUCAGAGUGAGCGUCCGGAAAUCCCCGUACUGCAUCCAGGCUUUCUGUCUGGGCCACACAGAGUUUGUCAGUGCACUGUGUGUUGCUCCUGAGCAUUCUGAUUGGCUUCUCUCUGGCUCAGGGGAUGGUACGGUGAAACUUUGGAAUUACGAGUCUGGCCAGCAAUUGCAGAGCAUCGACCUGAAGCAACUAUACGUUUCCCAUGGCACUGCUAUAGACUCUGAAAAGUCGCAAAGGUUUGCUGUUAGUCGGAUCGUUACCACUCUGGAUGGGCGGUAUGUUGCUGUACAGUGUGAAAGAUUUCCCUCCAUUCAGCUCUUUGUGUUGGAGGAUGAGUUAGAGGGACCCUUGACCCCCACUGAUAACCUUACAUUGCCUCAUACUCCUUGGGACAUGACCUUUGACCGUCAAGGCCGACUUUGGGUCUUACUGGAGAACAAAGACUCCAUUUUCCUUCUGUACACACACACUCAGGAGGGCUGGCAGUGUGAAACUGAAAGCCUUGAUCUUCAGACAGUAUCAGAAGCACUGCACCUGCACUGGGACCUUUUUGAAGAUUCUGUUGGGCUGGAGAGCCAGUUGCAGCACCUGUACAAGGUGAACUUUGACAACACUGCAUCAUAUUUGCAAAGGAAAUGGGAGAGACAGCAGCAGCAGAAGAAUCAGCAAGGGGGCAAGAGGAGGGCAGGAAAAGGCCCACAAUCCAGUGGGGCAGCAAAAAAAACCAAGACAGAGAGUAAAGGUGGGACAGUGUCUCAACACUGCAGCUGAGAGAUUGACCCUGGAGGAGAUGCAAGGGGAAGUGUUUGGAUAUCAUCCUCCAGGGGAGGUCUGGACAUUCCACUGAUAGGGCAAAGGAGGCAGGAUAAUCUAAGAGAGAGAAGCUCAGCACUGAACCGCUUAAUAAGCAUCGGCUUGAUGUCCUCACCUUCAUCACUGUCUCGAACAUGGGGAUGAGGACGAACUUGAUGAAGCCAAUCUGAGCGGUGGGCUUAGUGACCUUGUCUCUGUCCAUAAAGGGAGCUACAGGCAUGCACUCAGGCACACCUGGCGGAUCUGUUUGAAGGCCUCGGCAUCAAAGUUGGAGAAGAUGUUGCAGUCUGGCUGAG